GUGCUCACUUUGGUACACUUACUAAAACUGUAACAAUCCUGAGAGGAUCAGCAUGCCCCUGCCUAAAUUUGAUAUGCAAAUUCAUAAAGCAUUCUAUUUUUUU